GGCCUCGUGGCCCAAUGGCAAGGCGUCUGACUACGAUGGUGAUCCAUAAAUCAUUCAAAGAUAAUCAGGAGAUUCUGGGUUCGACCCCCAGCGAGGUCA